rnacentral:rRNA from 1 species
GAGCGGCGAACGGGUGAGUAACACGUGAGUAACCUGCCCUGGACUUUGGGAUAACCCUCGGAAACGGGGGCUAAUACCGAAUACGACACACAGCUGCAUGGNUUGUGUGUGGAAAGUUUUUCGGUCUGGGAUGGGCUCGCGGCCUAUCAGCUUGUUGGUGGGGUGAUGGCCUACCAAGGCGACGACGGGUAGCCGGCCUGAGAGGGCGACCGGCCACACUGGGACUGAGACACGGCCCAGACUCCUACGGGAGGCAGCAGUGGGGAAUAUUGCACAAUGGGCGGAAGCCUGAUGCAGCGACGCCGCGUGAGGGAUGACGGCCUUCGGGUUGUAAACCUCUUUCAGCAGGGACGAAGCGAGAGUGACGGUACCUGCAGAAGAAGCGCCGGCCAACUACGUGCCAGCAGCCGCGGUAAGACGUAGGGCGCGAGCGUUGUCCGGAUUUAUUGGGCGUAAAGAGCUCGUAGGCGGCUUGUCGCGUCGUUCGUGAAAACCUGGGGCUCAACCCCAGGCUUGCGGGCGAUACGGGCAGGCUAGAGUUCGGUAGGGGAGACUGGAAUUCCU